rnacentral:rRNA from 1 species
GACGAACGCUGGCGGCGUGCCUAACACAUGCAAGUUGAGCGACGAACCAGGGCUUGCCCUGGGGCAAAGCAGCGAACGGGUGAGUAACACGUGGGUAACCUACCCCGAUAACCGGGACAACCCGAGGAAACUCGGGCUAAUACCGGAUGUGCUCACUGGACUUCGGUUCAGUGCGUGAAGGAAGCUUCGGCCUCCGUAUCGGGAGGGGCCCGCGGCCCAUUAGUUUGUUGGUGAGGUAACGGCUCACCAAGACCGCGAUGGGUAGCUGGUCUGAGAGGACGAUCAGCCACACUGGGACUGAGACACGGCCCAGACUCCUACGGGAGGCAGCAGUGGGGAAUCUUGCGCAAUGCGCGAAAGCGUGACGCAGCAACGCCGCGUGGGGGAAGAAGGCCUUCGGGUUGUAAACCCCUUUCAGGAGGGACGAAGGUUCGGCGGUGAAUAGCCGUCCGGACUGACGGUACCUCCACAAGAAGCCCCGGCUAACUACGUG